UACUUUAUAUAUCAUAUUUUUGUCAUUUUUUCAACAUAUUUUUCUUUAAUCGAUUAUUACAGUACUAUCUUAUGCCAAAAUUUAUUUACUUCAUUGCUUAUAAUAUAAGUAUAGUCAAAGAUUGUUAAAUAAAAAUACAUAUAUAAUGAGAAAGGUACAUUUGCAUUCAAUAUGUGCAUUUCUAAUAACAUACAUGCCAUUUUUUGUUAAAAUUUCUGAUAUAAAUUAAUGCUUUACUAUAUCUAUUUAUAUAGCAGUUUUUAUAUGAAAAUAGUCCGUGAAAUAAAUGUACGUGUAUAAAGGAAAUAUCAAAUUGAAAAUUGCUAUAUAGUGAUAUACAUAGCUUUUGAUUUUACUUUUUAUAUUUUAUGUACCGUUCAUAAUUUACACAUAUAUUUAUAAAUAUAAUGAUAAUAUAAUUAUAAAUCAACUUUAUCAAUUGUUUAUUAAAAUGUCAUAUUAUUUAGAAUAUAAAUGCACAAGACUUGUAUGUUACAUGGAAAUAGUAUAUUUUUAAUUUCGUUGUGUUUCGUUAUGAACAAAAAUAUAUCAUUAUUAUUGAAAGAUUAUAUGUGUAUACACAUUUUUAUAUAGUUCAGCAAUCACAGGAAUCGUCUCCUGGCAAAUACCUGUUGGUGUUUCUCCUUGACCAAGAAAGAUAUUACUAUAAGAAGUCUUGAGAUAAUUUACAUGACCUUGUAAGGAUUUUAUGCGGCCUUGCGCGUGUUUAAAUGCCUCGUUCAAAUUAUUUAUUUGACUCUGCAUCUUUUGUCUGAUCUACAUGCAUUAACAAAAAAAGCAGAUCGUAAUAAAUAUAUCAUUGUCCCCGUUAAAAUUUUCACUUUAUAUUCGCAAUCGUUACCUCAUCUCUAUCACGUUGAGCUGCGCGUGCUGUUGCUCUACAUUGUGCUAAUUGUCUUUCCAUUUCAGCGAUCUGGCCUUGCAUCGAUCUUCGCAUAGUUUCGCAUCGCUCCUUCGUUCUUGCUACUUGCCGAGCGGAAUCCUCUCUUAUCUUAAAGUUAAAAAGGAAAUCCAAUUUUUCUCCUUUUGUCAUAAAGUCAACACAUGCAACAACAUAUACCUGCUCCAACGUCGAUGACAACUGCGUGUUCUCGUGCAUUUUUUCGUCAAUUCGUUUUUGCAACUGCGCUUCAUGUUCCUCAAAUCGUGUUAAUGUGUUUUUCAUUCUCUCAUUUUCAUGUCGCAACUCGCUACAUUUUCUAUCUAUUUCAUCCGACUUAGUGGAGUCAUUCUAUGUAAGUUGAUUAAUUAUUUUUUAUUAAAAAUAUUGAAGUUUUUAUUAGGCUGAUAAAUGACAACCUGAAGUGUCUGAUGAUCGGUGCGCAACACGUCCAAUUGAUUUUGCAAAGUUUGAACCUUAUCCUUACAUUCCAGCAAUUCUCGUGAUAGAUCCUCGCAGUUGCGUUCGGCGACUAAACGCAUCUGUUGUGCUUCCUGCAUCUUAAUUUGCAUUUGUUUCAGGAUAUCGGGUAAUGGCGCAAGUUCGGCUAAUUUUUCUUGAAAUUGAUUCUGUCACAUUAACAUAUAUAUAUAUAUAUAUAUAUAGAAGGAGAAUUUUGCUUUAAAUAAUCUUAAUAACAAAUCGCAGUAACAUUAAUGUUUGAUAUACUUUAACUCGUCCAAUUUCCAGAGUAACGUUCUCAUUCAUUCGCGCAUUAUCCAUUUCCAUAAGAUCCAGUUGUCGACGCUGUUCUUCAACUUGUUGCUGGGCCUAAUUUAAUUUAAUUAUUUCAGAUUUAAAACUGUUUACGUUGGGAAAUAAUUAAGCCGGAUAAAAUUCAGCUAGAUAAAUUGAAAGGCUAAUACCGACUUGCAAAUAUUUGUUGCGAUAAUCCUCCAAUUGAGCAGCUUGAUCCUGAAUCAAAGAACGAAGCUCCUCUAGCUCAUCCUGCGCUUCACGAAAGCGUUGUUUCGCUACUAUUAAAGCCUGUUCCUGUUCGAUUAACUGUUCUUUGUGACCUGUUUCGAAAUUAAUUUGCAUUUUAUACUUUGUGCAUUCAAUUAGAAAAAUCUAUUCCACUGUUAUUGGUUCUUUAAAUAAGAGACUUUAUAACACAAAAAGUUACCUUCAAAUUUUUCUUUUUCUAUUUCUAGAAGUUUCAAUCGUUCCUGAGCAUCUAUCAACUUUAUCUCCAUUCGUUCUUUUUCUUCCUUUGCAUCGCGCAUAUCCUGUUUGAACUUCUCUGCAUCUGUUCUCAUGCAUGAUACCUCGCACAACUUGUUCUUAUAAUCAUCCUGAAGCCGAGCAUAUUGUUCGCGAAGAUCGCGUAAUUGCUGUUGAGCGGAAACACUGGUGCCCUGUGAUCAGAGAUACUCUACUGUGAUUUUAUAUAAUUAAUUUUUUUCCAUUAUAGUCUUACCAUGGCUGCAUUUGUACAGGAACCAGUCGCCUAUAUUCGAUAAAAAAAAAUUUUUUUUCUCUACUAAUUAGUAAAUUUUUCGCAUGACGAAGAAAACGAAUAACAAAAUAUCAUAGCUUUUAAUUAUGCAAAUUAUAAUCGCAGUACAGAAAUAUAUCAGCAAAAAUGAAAAAUGUGUAGAAUCUCGUAUAUGUUGUUAGAAACACGAGAAUCACUUAGGGAAUUUAUUAAAUAAAAAAUAAUCAAAGAAUUGUACAGGUAUCUGAGCGGAAGGCACAGCAGGUCCUGGCGUGGUGGGUGUCACGCAUGUCGAGGGCGGAGGUGGACAAGGACAUGGUGCACAAGAUUUUCCUCUACUUACUACCUUGGAAAAAAUCACAAGAUUUUUCACAAUUUAAGACUUACCAAUUGUUUAGAGCUAGUACCGUAAGUGGCAAGUUUAUCUUCCAAUUCUGCGGGGCACGUUCCUCUAGGAAGCGGUGGCCUAACGACAGCUAGACCACGGGAAGUCAUCACGGUUUGCAAAGAAUUAUCUACGAAAUAACGAUCGUCCGUUUUCGAGCCACCUCCUUCGGUGAUAAAGCAUCAACGAACUGAAGACAGCAUUUGCAUCGAUAGUAAACGUCUUCUCCAAGCUGCGCACUAACAUGCGGACGGAAUGACAGCGGUGUUGAUGGAGGAGACGAAGCAACACCUGGACAGGUGUAACAGCAAGUAGGUCUAAUCACUAGUUGAUUCAAAGUAGCCAAUUGACGACUCAGCUCCGUAUUUUCUUUGACAAUUAUACGCAUUUCUGCCUGAAGAGCGCAUACCUUCCUCUGUAAACUCUCUAGAGCGGUAUCUUUUUCCAACAAGGCUUCUUCUAGUUUGUACCUGUUUAUAUAUGGAAAAACAGGGCUUUCUAUACAGUCUUUAUAUAGUAGUUCUCUUCUGUCUGCUUUGCUUUAAAAUUGGACAAAAGUAUAGAAUAUUGAAUUAAAAUUUAAUUAUAAAAUUUUUUCUAAAUGAAAUAAUCAUUUUAUUAUUAUGAGAUCAAUAUAUCGGGUUACAUUUAAAUGACGUAUGAAUAUGAAUGACAUUGCUUCAAUGUCUGAAAUCGUCGCCGAGGGAACGGUAUAACUUUCAAAUAUUUUUCGACCUUCUAUUAUUCCACUAUAUAAAUAUAAAACUAUUGAAUAUUUAAAAAUAAUCUUUUGUAAGCCGAAUAUUCUGAAA